rnacentral:rRNA from 1 species
GAUGAACGCUGGCGGCGUGCCUAAUACAUGCAAGUCGAGCGAACGGACGAGAAGCUUGCUUCUCUGAUGUUAGCGGCGGACGGGUGAGUAACACGUGGAUAACCUACCUAUAAGACUGGGAUAACUUCGGGAAACCGGAGCUAAGACCGGAUAAUAUUUUGAACCGCAUGGUGCAAAAGUGAAAGACGGUCUUGCUGUCACUUAUAGAUGGAUCCGCGCUGCAUUAGCUAGUUGGUAAGGUAACGGCUUACCAAGGCAACGAUGCAUAGCCGACCUGAGAGGGUGAUCGGCCACACUGGAACUGAGACACGGUCCAGACUCCUACAGGAGGCAGCAGUAGGGACUCUUCCGCAAUGCGCGAAAGCCUGACGGAGCAACGCCGCGUGAGUGCUGAAGGUCUUCGGAUCGUAAAACUCUGUUAUUCGGGAAGAACAUAUGUGUAAGUAACUGUGCACAUCUUGACGGUACCUAAUCAGAAAGCCACGGCUAACUACGUG